GUGAGGUAACAGCUCACCAAGGCUACGAUGUCUAGGGGGUCUGAGAGGAUGGUCCCCCACACUGGUACUGAGACACGGACCAGACUCCUACGGGAGGCAGCAGUGAGGAAUAUUGGUCAAUGGGCGAAAGCCUGAACCAGCCAUGCCGCGUGAAGGAUGACAGCCCUAUGGGUUGUAAACUUCUUUUGUACGGGAAGAAACGCCUCUACGUGUAGAGGUUUGACGGUACCGUACGAAUAAGCAUCGGCUAACUCCGUGCCAGCAGCCGCGGUAAUACGGAGGAUGCAAGCGUUAUCCGGAUUUAUUGGGUUUAAAGGGUACGUAGGCGGGAGCUUAAGUCAGUGGUGAAAUCCUGCAGCUUAACUGUAGAACUGUCAUUGAUACUGGGCUUCUUGAAUGUAGUUGAGGUAGGCGGAAUGUGUAAUGUAGCGGUGAAAUGCUUAGAUAUUACACAGAACACCGAUUGCGAAGGCAGCUUACUAAACUACGAUUGACGCUGAGGUACGAAAGCGUGGGGAGCGAACAGGAUUAGAUACCCUGGUAGUCCACGCUGUAAACGAUGAUCACUCGUUGUUGGCAAUACACCGUCAGCGACUGAGCGAAAGCAUUAAGUGAUCCACCUGGGGAGUACGACCGCAAGGUUGAAACUCAAAGGAAUUGACGGGGGCCCGCACAAGCGGAGGAACAUGUGGUUUAAUUCGAUGAUACGCGAGGAACCUUACCUGGGCUUAAAUGUAGAAACCGGACGGAACCCGGGAAAACUGGGUCUUUUCCUUCGGACGGUCUGCAAGGUGCUGCAUGGCUGUCGUCAGCUCGUGCCGUGAGGUGUCGGGUUAAGUCCCAUAACGAGCGCAACCCUCAUCAUUAGUUGCCAGCGGGUAAUGCCGGGGACUCUAAGAAACUGCCGGUGUAAACCGAGAGGAAGGUGGGGAUGACGUCAAGUCAGCACGGCCCUUAUGUCCAGGGCUACACACGUGUUACAAUGGUCGGUACAAAGGGC
rnacentral:rRNA from 1 species